rnacentral:misc_RNA from 1 species
GAAAAAUGAAAAAACAAAAAACAUAAUUCGAUAAAAAAUGAUGAGUUGUAUUUUAUUUGUUUUUCUUCGU